rnacentral:rRNA from 1 species
UACGUAGGGACCAAGCGUUGUUCGGAUUUACUGGGCGUAAAGGGCGCGUAGGCGGCAAUUCAAGUUAGCUGUGAAAUCUCCGGGCUUAACUCGGAACGGUCAGCUGAUACUGCUUUGCUAGAGUGCAGAAGGGGCAAUCGGAAUUCUUGGUGUAGCGGUGAAAUGCGUAGAUAUCAAGAGGAACACCUGAGGUGAAGACGGGUUGCUGGGCUGACACUGACGCUGAGGCGCGAAAGCUAGGGGAGCGAACAGG